UAGGGAAUAUUGGACAAUGGGGGCAACCCUGAUCCAGCCAUGCCGCGUGAGUGAAGAAGGCCCUCGGGUUGUAAAGCUCUUUUGUCCGGAAAGAAAAGCAUUCGGUGAAUACCCGGAUGUUCUGACGGUACCGGAAGAAUAAGCACCGGCUAACUUCGUGCCAGCAGCCGCGGUAAUACGAAGGGUGCAAGCGUUACUCGGACUUACUGGGCGUAAAGCGUGCGUAGGUGGUUGUUGAAGUCUGAUGUGAAAGCCCUGGGCUCAACCUGGGAAUGGCAUUGGAAACUGGGCAGCUAGAGUGCGUUAGAGGGUAGUGAAAUUCCCGGUGUAGCAGUGAAAUGCGUAGAGAUCGGGAGGAACAUCUGUGGCUAAGGCGACUGCCUGGACCAGCACUGACACUGAGGCACGAAAGCGUGGGGAGCAAACA
rnacentral:rRNA from 1 species